rnacentral:rRNA from 1 species
UACGAGGGGGGCAAGCGUUGUUCGGAAUUAUUGGGCGUAAAGAGCUCGUAGGCGGCCUGUCGCGUCUGCUGUGAAAUCCCGGGGCUCAACCCCGGGCCUGCAGUGGAUACGGGCUGGCUGGAGGCAGGCAGGGGAGAACGGAAUUCCUGGUGUAGCGGUGAAAUGCGCAGAUAUCAGGAGGAACACCGGUGGCGAAGGCGGUUCUCUGGGCCUGUUCUGACGCUGAGGAGCGAAAGCGUGGGGAGCGAACAGG